UCGACUUGGAGGUUGUGCCCUUGAGGCGUGGCUUCCGAGCUAACGCGUUAAGUCGACCGCCUGGGGAGUACGGCCGCAAGGUUAAAACUCAAAUGAAUUGACGGGGGCCCGCACAAGCGGUGGAGCAUGUGGUUUAAUUCGAUGCAACGCGAAGAACCUUACCUACUCUUGACAUCCAGAGAACUUAGCAGAGAUGCUUUGGUGCCUUCGGGAACUCUGAGACAGGUGCUGCAUGGCUGUCGUCAGCUCGUGUUGUGAAAUGUUGGGUUAAGUCCCGCAACGAGCGCAACCCUUAUCCUUUGUUGCCAGCGAUUCGGUCGGGAACUCAAAGGAGACUGCCAGUGAUAAACUGGAGGAAGGUGGGGAUGACGUCAAGUCAUCAUGGCCCUUACGAGUAGGGCUACACACGUGCUACAAUGGCAUAUACAAAGAGAAGCGACCUCGCGAGAGCAAGCGGACCUCAUAAAGUAUGUCGUAGUCCGGAUUGGAGUCUGCAACUCGACUCCAUGAAGUCGGAAUCGCUAGUAAUCGUGGAUCAGAAUGCCACGGUGAAUACGUUCCCGGGCCUUGUACACACCGCCCGUCACACCAUGGGAGUGGGUUGCAAAAGAAGUAGGUAGCUUAACCUUCGGGAGGGCGCUUACCACUUUGUGAUUCAUGACUGGGGUGAAGUCGUAACAAGGUAACCGUAGGGGAACCUGC
rnacentral:rRNA from 1 species